UUGAUUUUGAGGUCACUAGGUCAAAGGUCAUGGUGACCCGAAAUAGUAAAAUGGUUUCCGGAUGAUAACUCAAAAACGCUUAUGCCUAGGAUCAUGAAACUUCAUAGGUACAUUGAUCAUGACUCGCAGAUGACCCCUAUUGAUUUUCAGGUCACUAGGUCAAAGGUCAAGGUCACGGUGACCCGAAAUAGUAAAAUGGUUUCCGGAUGAUAACUCAAGAACGCUUAUGCCUAGGAUCAUGAAACUUGAUAGGUACAUUGAUCAUGACUCGCAGUUGACCCCUAUUGAUUUUCAGGUCA